GGCCCACCAAACCUUUGAUGGAUAGGGGUUCUGAGAGGAAGGUCCCCCACAUUGGAACUGAGACACGGUCCAAACUCCUACGGGAGGCAGCAGUGAGGAAUAUUGGUCAAUGGACGGAAGUCUGAACCAGCCAAGUAGCGUGAAGGAUGACUGCCCUCUGGGUUGUAAACUUCUUUUAUACGGGAAUAACAUGAGGUACGGGUACCUUAUUGCAUGUACCGUUAUGAAUAAGCAUCGGCUAACUCCGUGCCAGCAGCCGCGGUAAUACGGAGGAUGCGAGCGUUAUCCGGAUUUAUUGGGUUUAAAGGGAGCGUAGGUGGGAUAUUAAGUCAGCUGUGAAAGUUUGGGGCUCAACCUUAAAAUUGCAGUUGAUACUGGUUUUCUUGAGUACGGUAUAGGUGGGCGGAAUUCGUGGUGUAGCGGUGAAAUGCUUAGAUAUCACGAAGAACUCCUAUUGCGAAGGCAGCUCACUGGACCGGCACUGACACUGAUGCUCGAAAGUGCGGGUAUCAAACAGGAUUAGAUACCCUGGUAGUCCGCACAGUAAACGAUGAAUACUCGCUGUUUGCGAUACACGGUAAGCGGCCAAGCGAAAGCGUUAAGUAUUCCACCUGGGGAGUACGCCGGCAACGGUGAAACUCAAAGGAAUUGACGGGGGCCCGCACAAGCGGAGGAACAUGUGGUUUAAUUCGAUGAUACGCGAGGAACCUUACCCGGGCUUAAAUUGCGCUGGCUUUUACCGGAAACGGUAUUUUCUUCGGACCAGCGUGAAGGUGCUGCAUGGUUGUCGUCAGCUCGUGCCGUGAGGUGUCGGCUUAAGUGCCAUAACGAGCGCAACCCUUAUCUUUAGUUGCCAUCAGGUUUUGCUGGGGACUCUAAAGAGACUGCCGUCGUAAGAUGCGAGGAAGGUGGGGAUGACGUCAAAUCAGCACGGCCCUUACGUCCGGGGCUACACACGUGUUACAAUGGGGAGCACAGCAGGUUGCUACACGGCGACGUGAUGCCAAUCCGUAAAACUCCUCUCAGUUCGGAUCGAAGUCUGCAACCCGACUUCGUGAAGCUGGAUUCGCUAGUAAUCGCGCAUCAGCCACGGCGCGGUGAAUACGUUCCCGGGCCUUGUACACACCGCCCGUCAAGCCAUGAAAGCCGGGGGUACCUGAAGUACGUAACCGCAAGGAUCGUCC
rnacentral:rRNA from 1 species